CAGCGUCACAGACGGAAGCAAAGGCAGUGAGAGAGUGUCAGGGUGAUAGAUGCCUUCGCAUAAAGGACGAUUUAACACUCAGUAGGAAUUUCUGAGGACGAAGAAGCUCUACUGAAACUGUACUAAAAUUCCCCCCGAAAUUCUUAUCGAAAAGAGUUAACACUGCGGAAGGAAAUUUGUUUAAAACGUGAGAUCUAAAUGUGACUAGCUACAUAGGUAAGUGUUACGUGAUGCGCGAU